rnacentral:misc_RNA from 1 species
GUACUCUCACACUCCCAAUCCAAGGGAUUGGGAGCGGUGGACUUGGGUGUUGCAGCUUGACUGAGGCUCACCUGAAAUAUGUUAGUGCAUCUCUUGAUUGAACAUAGUACGGCGUGAUAAGUGUCUUCGCCGGCUCCUCGCAAAGAGGGUGGUCGAUCGGGAGCUCUGUUGCUUCAAACUGUCUUCGGACAAUCUUCUGACA